rnacentral:rRNA from 1 species
GUGAGGAAUAUUGGGCAAUGGGCGAAAGCCUGACCCAGCCACGCCGCGUGUGUGAUGAAGGCCUUCGGGUCGUAAAGCACUGUGGGGAGGGACGAACAAGCGCAUCAGGAAAUGGGUGCGCCCUGACGGUACCUCCUUAGCAAGCACCGGCUAACUCUGUGCCAGCAGCCGCGGUAAUACAGAGGGUGCGAACGUUGCUCGGAUUUACUGGGCGUAAAGCGCGUGUAGGCGGACUCGCAAGUCGGUUGUGAAAUCCCUGGGCUCAACCUAGGAACUGCAUCCGAAACUGCUUGUCUUGAGUAAUGGAGAGGGUGGCGGAAUUCCCGGUGUAGAGGUGAAAUUCGUAGAUAUCGGGAGGAACAUCAGUGGCGAAGGCGGCCACCUGGACAUUUACUGACGCUGAGACGCGAAAGCGUGGGGAGCAAACAGGAUUAGAUACCCUGGUAGUCC